AACGUAGGAGGCGAGCGUUAUCCGGAUUUACUGGGCGUAAAGCGCAUGCAGGCGGUUUUUUAAGUCGGACGUGAAAGCUCUCGGCUCAACUGAGAGAGGCCGUUCGAAACUAGAAAACUUGAGGAUGGUAGAGGAGAGUGGAAUUCCCGGUGUAGUGGUGAAAUGCGUAGAUAUCGGGAGGAACACCAGUGGCGAAGGCGGCUCUCUGGGCCAUUCCUGACGCUCAGAUGCGAAAGCUAGGGGAGAGAACGGG
rnacentral:misc_RNA from 1 species